UGGGGAAUUUUGGACAAUGGGCGCAAGCCUGAUCCAGCAAUGCCGCGUGCAGGAUGAAGGCCUUCGGGUUGUAAACUGCUUUUGUACGGAGCGAAACGGCUCUACCUAAUACGUAGGGCUAAUGACGGUACCGUAAGAAUAAGCACCGGCUAACUACGUGCCAGCAGCCGCGGUAAUACGUAGGGUGCGAGCGUUAAUCGGAAUUACUGGGCGUAAAGCGUGCGCAGGCGGUCUUGUAAGACAGAUGUGAAAUCCCCGGGCUCAACCUGGGACCUGCAUUUGUGACUGCAAGGCUGGAGUGCGGCAGAGGGGGAUGGAAUUCCGCGUGUAGCAGUGAAAUGCGUAGAUAUGCGGAGGAACACCGAUGGCGAAGGCAAUCCCCUGGGCCUGCACUGACGCUCAUGCACGAAAGCGUGGGGAGCAAACAGGAUUAGAUACCCACGUAGUCCCUGAGCGGGCUGGCAAGGCGCAU
rnacentral:rRNA from 1 species